rnacentral:rRNA from 1 species
CCGUUCGGGUUGUAAAGCUCUGUCGCCCGGGACGAAAAUCUAUUGAGUUAACAGCUCAGUGGACUGACGGUACCGGGAAAGGAAGCACCGGCUAACUCCGUGC